UACGUAGGGUGCGAGCGUUAAUCGGAAUUACUGGGCGUAAAGCGUGCGUAGGCGGUGAUGUAAGACAGUUGUGAAAUCCCCGGGCUCAACCUGGGAACUGCAUCUGUGACUGCAUCGCUGGAGUGCGGCAGAGGGGGAUGGAAUUCCGCGUGUAGCAGUGAAAUGCGUAGAUAUGCGGAGGAACACCGAUGGCGAAGGCAAUCCCCUGGGCCUGCACUGACGCUCAUGCACGAAAGCGUGGGGAGCAAACAGG
rnacentral:rRNA from 1 species